rnacentral:tRNA from 1 species
GGGGUUGUGGCCUAGUCCGGCAUGGCGACGGGCUCCAAACCCGUCGAUCGUGAGUUCAAAUCUCACCAACCCCA